CUGGACUCCAACUGCUAUGCUGAUGCUGAGGUAUGUGUGAAGAGACGUGGAGGGGUGGUGGUUGACCUUGUGGGACCCAGAAGGGGUUUUAUUUUGCUGUUUUUCUUGAUUCAGGACUUUUCAACCUUUCUGUCUGAAAGUGGUGUUGGGUUAGACCUCCCCUCUCUUUCUGUCUGUCUGCGGUAUCAGGUCAGGCCUCCCCUCUCUUUCCGUCUGUCUGUGGUGUCAGGUUAGACCUCCCCUCUCUUUCUGUCUGUGGUGUCAGGUUAGACCUCCUCUCUCUUUCUGUCUGUCUGUGGUGUCAAGUUAGAUCUCCCUUCUCUCUCUUUCUGUCUGUCUGUGGUGUCAGGUUAGACCUCCCCUGUCUUUCCGUCUGUCUGUGGUGUCAAGUUAGACCUCCCCUCUUUUUCCGUCUGUCUGUGGUGUCAAGUCAGACCUCCCGUCUCUUUCUGUCUGUCUGUGGUGUCAGGUUAGACCUCCCCUCUCUUUCUGUCUGUCUGUGGUGUCAAGUUAGACCUCCCCUCUCUCUCUUUCUGUCUGUCUGUGGUGUCAGGUUAGACCUCCCCUCUCUUUCUGUCUGUCUGUGGUGUCAAGUUAGACCUCCCCUCUCUCUCUUUCCGUCUGUCUGUGGUGUCAGGUUAGACCUCCCCUCUCUUUCUGUCUGUGGUGUCAGGUUAGACCUCCCCUGUCUUUCCGUCUGUCUGUAGUGUCAGGUUAGACCUCCGCUCUUUUUCUGUCUGUCUGUGGUGUCAAGUUAGACCUCCCCUCUCUUUCCGUCUGUCUGUGGUGUCAAGUUAGACCUCCCCUCUCUCUCUUUCUGUCUGUCUGUGGUGUCAGGUUAGACCUCCCCUCUCUUUCCAUCUGUCUGUGGGGUCAGGUUAGACCUCCCCUCUCUAUCUGUCUGUGGUGUCAGGUCAGACCUCCCCUCUCUUUCUGUCUGUCUGUGGUGUCAGGUUAGACCUCCCCUCUCUAUCUGUCUGUGGUGUCAGGUUAGACCUCCCCUCUCUUUCCGUCUGUCUGUGGUGUCAAGUUAGACCUCCCUUCUCUAGCUGUCCACUCUAUCUGUCUGUUGUGUCAGGUUAGACCUCCCCUCUCUUUCUGUCUGUCUGUGGUGUCAAGUUAGACCUCCCCUCUCUCUCUUUCCGUCUGUCUGUGGUGUCAGGUUAGACCUCCCCUCUCUUUCUGUCUGUCUGUGGUGUCAAGUUAGACCUCCCCUCUCUCUCUGUCUCUCUGUCUGUGGUGUCAGGUUAGACCUCCCCUCUCUUUCCGUCUGUCUGUGGUGUAAGGUUAGACCUCCCCUCUCUUUCUGUCUGUGGUGUCAGGUUAGACCUCCCCUGUCUUUCCGUCUGUCUGUGGUGUCAGGUUAGACCUCCGCUCUUUUUCUGUCUGUCUGUGGUGUCAAGUUAGACCUCCCCUCUCUUUCCGUCUGUCUGUGGUGUCAAGUUAGACCUCCCCUCUCUCUCUUUCUGUCUGUCUGUGGUGUCAGGUUAGACCUCCCCUCUCUUUCCAUCUGUCUGUGGGGUCAGGUUAGACCUCCCCUCUCUAUCUGUCUGUGGUGUCAGGUCAGACCUCCCCUCUCUUUCCGUCUGUCUGUGGUGUCAGGUUAGACCUCCCCUCUCUAUCUGUCUGUGGUGUCAGGUCAGACCUCCCCUCUCAUUCCGUCUGUCUGUGGUGUCAGGUUAGACCUCCCCUCUCUUUCCAUCUGUCUGUGGGGUCAGGUUAGACCUCCCCUCUCUAUCUGUCUGUGGUGUCAGGUCAGACCUCCCCUCUCUUUCUGUCUGUCUGUGGUGUCAGGUUAGACCUCCCCUCUCUAUCUGUCUGUGGUGUCAGGUUAGACCUCCCCUCUCUUUCCGUCUGUCUGUGGUGUCAAGUUAGACCUCCCUUCUCUAGCUGUCCACUCUAUCUGUCUGUUGUGUCAGGUUAGACCUCCCCUCUCUAUCUGUCUGUGGUGUCAAGUUAGACCUCCCCUCUCUAUCUGUCUGUGGUGUCAGGUUAGACCUCCCCUCUCUUUCCGUCUGUCUGUGGUGUCAGGUUAGACCUCCCCUCUCUGGACAGACAGACAGACACUGGACAGACAGACAGACACUGAACAGACAGACACUGAACAGACAGACAGACACUGAACAGACAGACAGACACUGGACAGACAGACACUGGACAGACAGACAGACAGACAGACAGACAGACAGACAGACAGACAGACAGACAGACAGACAGACACUGAACAGACAGACACUGGACAGACAGACAGACACUGAACAGACAGACAGACAGACACUGGACAGACAGACACUGAACACACAGACAGACACUGGACAGACAGACACUGAACAGACAGACACUGGACAGACAGACAGACACUGGACAGACAGACAGACACUGAACAGACAGACAGACACUGAACAGGCAGACACUGAACAGGCAGACACUGGACAGACAGACACUGAACAGACAGACACUGGACAGACAGACAGACAGACACUGAACAGACAGACAGACACUGAACAGACAGACACUGGACAGACAGACACUGGACAGACAGACAGACACUGAACAGGCAGACACUGGACAGACAGACAGACACUGGACAGACAGACACUGAACAGACAGACAGACACUGGACAGACAGACACUGAACAGACAGACACUAGACAGACAGACAGACACUGAACAGACAGACAGACACUGAAUAGACAGACACUGGACAGACAGACACUGGACAGACAGACAGACACUGAACAGGCAGACACUGGACAGACAGACAGACACUGGACAGACAGACACUGAACAGACAGACACUGGACAGACAGACAGACACUGGACAGACAGACACUGAACAGACAGACAGAUACUGAACAGGCAGACACUGGACAGACAGACAGACACUGGACAGACAGACACUGAACAGACAGAUACUGGACAGACAGACAGACACUGGACAGACAGACAGACACUGGACAGACAGACAGACACUGGACAGACAGACACUGGACAGAGAGACAGUGGACAGACAGACACUGAAUAGUUAACCUUUAUUUAUAUGGAUGACGCUGGGCCACACUGUACCAUGUCUACCCAAAAUAGUUCACUUUUAUUUAACUAGGCCAGUCUGUCUACAAUGACGGCCUACACCGGCCAAAACCCAGACGACGCUGGGCCACUCUGUACCAUGUCUACCCACAAUACAUUCAAUCAACACAAUCAAAUGUAUUUAUAAAGCCAGAUAUCACCAAGUGCUUAUACAGAAACCCAGCCUAACCCCCCCCCCCAAAACAAAACAGCACGCAAUGCAGAUGUAGAAGCACGACACCGAGUCAACCUACCUACAAUACCCCAUGUCUACUACCCACAGUACACCAUGUCUGGACAGCUGACGAUGUGAA
rnacentral:lncRNA from 1 species